rnacentral:pre_miRNA from 1 species
CUUCAGUGAACAUUCAACGCUGUCGGUGAGUUUGAGCAUUAGAAAAAAAACCAUCGACCGUUGACUGUACCUUGAGG